rnacentral:rRNA from 1 species
UCUGGUCAGGACGAACGCUGGCGGCGUGCCUAACACAUGCAAGUCGAGCGAGGAGAUUCCUUCGGGAUGAUCCUAGCGGCGGACGGGUGAGUAACACGUGGGCAACCUGCCUCAUAGAGAGGAAUAGCCUUCCGAAAGGGAGAUUAAUACCUCAUAACAUUGCAGUUUCGCAUGGAACAGCAAUUAAAGGAGUAAUCCGCUAUGAGAUGGGCCCGCGGCGCAUUAGCUAGUUGGUGAGGUAAUGGCUCACCAAGGCGACGAUGCGUAGCCGACCUGAGAGGGUGAUCGGCCACAUUGGGACUGAGACACGGCCCAGACUCCUACGGGAGGCAGCAGUGGGGAAUAUUGCACAAUGGGGGAAACCCUGAUGCAGCCAACGCCGCGUGAGUGAUGACGGCCUUCGGGUUGUAAAGCUCUGUCUUCAGGGACGAUAAUGACGGUACCUGAGGAGGAAGCCACGGCUAACUACGUGCCAGCAGCUGC